GGAGGAAAAGAAAAUAACAAUGAUUUCCCUAGUAACGGCGAGUGAAGAGGAAAGAGCUCAAAGUUGGAACCUGUUUGGCCUAGCUAAACAGGAUUGUAAACUGUAGAAGUGUUUUCCAGGCAAUCCGAGUUAAUAAGUCCUUUGGAACAGGGCAUCAUAGAGGGUGAGAAUCCCGUCUUUGAUUCGAGAUAUUUUGUCUUUUGCGAUACACUUUCAAAGAGUCAGGUUGUUUGGGAAUGCAGCCUAAAUUGGGUGGUAAAUCUCACCUAAAGCUAAAUAUUGGCGAGAAACCGAUAGCGAACAAGUACCGUGAGGGAAAGAUGAAAAGAACUUUGAAAAGAGAGUUAAACAGUAUGUGAAAUUGUUAAAAGGGAACCGUUUGGAGCCAGACUGGCUUGUCUGUAAUCAAUCUAGGUUUCGUGCCUGGAUGCACUUGCAGACUAUUUGCCUGCCAACGACAAUUUUUUUUGAGUGUAAAAACUAUUGGAAAUGUGGCCAAUAUUUAUUUAUUGGUGUUAUAGUCCUUUAGAAAAUACCUUGAAUUGGAUUGAGGAACGCAGCGAAUGCUUCUCUUUUGAGGCAAAGUCUUUUAUUGGGAUUUACGGAUCAGACUGUGGCAUUGUCACAAGACUUGAAGUUUAAACCUAUUUUUGAACUUUUAUUCGCUUAGGUUGUUGGCUUAAUGACUCUAAAUGACCCGUCUUGAA
rnacentral:rRNA from 1 species